rnacentral:rRNA from 1 species
GAUGAACGCUGGCGGCGUGCCUAAUACAUGCAAGUCGAGCGAACAGACGAGAGUGCUUGCACUCUCUGACGUUAGCGGCUGACGGGUGAGUAACACGUGGGUAACCUACCUAUAAGACUGGGAUAACUUCGGGAAACCGGAGCUAAUACCGGAUAAUAUUUAUCUUCGCAUGAAGCAAUAGUGAAAGACGGUUCUGCUGUCACUUAUAGAUGGACCCGCGGUGUAUUAGCUAGUUGGUGAGGUAACGGCUCACCAAGGCAACGAUACAUAGCCGACCUGAGAGGGUGAUCGGCCACACUGGGACUGAGACACGGCCCAGACUCCUACGGGAGGCAGCAGUAGGGAAUCUUCCGCAAUGGACGAAAGUCUGACGGAGCAAUGCCGCGUGAGUGAAGAAGGUUUUCGGAUCGUAAAACUCUGUUGUAAGGGAAGAACAAGUACGUUAGUAACUGAACGUACCUUGACGGUACCUUACCAGAAAGCCACGGCUAACUACGUG